rnacentral:misc_RNA from 1 species
UCGAGUUUUAAAAAAAGUGCUCUUGAGCUGGCAUUGCAGGUGCUUGGAGCCUUUUUUCUAAUCCACUCAACCCCUGUGCACCUUGAAACGAGCUUGGUUGAAGGUUUAAUUACUGACGACCGGUUCGUUUUAUUACAAACACAUUCUUAUUGUCUUGUAAUGAAUUAGCCUUCGGGCUUGAUAGUUAAAUA